GGGGGCAUAGCUCAGGGGUAGAGCAUUUGACUGCAGAUCAAGAAUUUUGGUCCAUAUUCCCA
rnacentral:tRNA from 1 species